rnacentral:rRNA from 1 species
GACGAACGCUGGCGGCGUGCUUAACACAUGCAAGUCGAACGGUGACCCAGGGCUUGCCCUGGUGAUCAGUGGCGAACGGUGAGUAACACGUGGGCAACCUGCCCCUGACUUCGGGAUAACUCCUCGAAAGAGGAGCUAAUACCGGAUACGACCACUUCGGACAUCCGAUGGUGGUGGAAAGUUUUUCGGUCAGGGAUGGGCCCGCGGCCUAUCAGCUAGUUGGUGGGGUAAUGGCCUACCAAGGCGACGACGGGUAGCCGGCCUGAGAGGGCGACCGGCCACACUGGGACUGAGACACGGCCCAGACUCCUACGGGAGGCAGCAGUGGGGAAUAUUGCGCAAUGGGCGAAAGCCUGACGCAGCGACGCCGCGUGAGGGAUGAAGGCCUCGGGUUGUAAACCUCUUUCAGCAGGACGAAGCGAAAGUGACGGUACCUGCAGAAGAAGCACCGGCUAACUACGUGCCAGCAGCCGCGGUAAU